rnacentral:lncRNA from 1 species
AGGCUGGGCCCGCGGAGGCCAGGCGCCGCACUCGCCUGUAAGAUGCCGUCUUUCGUCAACGAGCCCCACCAGGCAGGUGGCACAUUUACCCCUACUUCGCAGUCACGCAAAAUGGAAACUCAGGCUUUGAGGGGCUGGGCAGCCAGGAAGAACAGGGAGCCUGCUGACAUCUGCUUGGAGCUGAAACAACCCUCUGCCAGCUGGGGCCAGGACAUCGCUGGUUGACUCCGGGUCGCCGCAGGGGCAGAGCUCCGCCACCACUGGCUCUGUGCCCGGGGCCUGGCUUGGUGCAUCCUCCAGGGCGCUGCGAGGCGGCGAGGUCUGCAUCUGACCUGUCCAGGAUUUCAGCCCUUGGGGGAGCAGCUCGCC